rnacentral:misc_RNA from 1 species
AAGUCGUAACAAGGUUUCCGUAGGUGAACCUGCGGAAGGAUCAUUAUUGAAUAAACUUGCAGGCUGUUGCUGGCCUCUCGAGGCAAUGUGCACGCUUGUCAUCUUUAUUUCUCCAACUGUGCACGUAUUGUAGAUCUGGUUAUUUUGGAUUGUUCGAGUGAAAUCGAAUAGAUUGAGGACUGCUGUGCUUCUUUGAAAGCUGGCUUUGCCUUGUAUUUCCAGGUCUAUGUUACUUUUACAAACCCUUCUAUGUUUUAGAAUGUUGAAAUUGGGUCUUUGUACCUAUAAAGUUAAAUAUACAACUUUCAGCAACGGAUCUCUUGGCUCUC